AACAUCGCGCACCUGCGGGAACCUGCGGAAGGAUCAUUAUUGAAUAUUCUUGAUGGGUUGUAGCUGGCUCUUUGGAGCAUGUGCACGCCUGUCUUGACUUUAUUCAUCCACCUGUGCACCUUUUGUAGUCUUGGGGGUCAGAGCAGUCGACUGUCGGAUGGCUAAUCCGGAUGUGAGGAAUGCUGAGUGCGCAAGCAUACGGCUCUCUUCAAAACGACUUGCAAAAACCCUUGAGUACUA
rnacentral:misc_RNA from 1 species